rnacentral:rRNA from 1 species
CCUACGGGGGGCUGCAGUGAGGAAUAUUGGUCAAUGGACGAGAGUCUGAACCAGCCAAGUAGCGUGAAGGAUGACUGCCCUAUGGGUUGUAAACUUCUUUUAUAUGGGAAUAAAAUGUUCCACGUGUGGGAUUUUGUAUGUACCAUAUGAAUAAGGAUCGGCUAACUCCGUGCCAGCAGCCGCGGUAAUACGGAGGAUCCGAGGGUUAUCCGGAUUUAUUGGGUUUAAAGGGAGCGUAGGUGGAGUGUUAAGUCAGUUGUGAAAGUUUGCGGCUCAACCGUAAAAUUGCAGUUGAAACUGGCAGUCUUGAGUACAGUAGAGGUGGGCGGAAUUCGUGGUGUAGCGGUGAAAUGCUUAGAUAUCACGAAGAACUCCGAUUGCGAAGGCAGUUCACUGGACUGCAACUGACACUGAGGCUCGAAAGUGUGGGUAUCAAACAGGAUUAGAUACCCGUGUAGUC